UUGUAAAAGGUGUUUAUUUGCCAAUAACCAGGAUUUGAACCCAAGACGGCAGCAGGAUGCCAGUCAAGAACACUAUCCACUGCCCCACACACUUAUAAUUCAUCAAAGCUUGUCUAAAUCAUUGUCAAUAUUAAUUCAGAGCAACGCAUGCAAGUGACCACUAGGUUUUGUAUUGUUUCGUAGCCUCAGCACAAUCCUGUCAUGUUUGAGCACGCUGAGGUAGAAGGUUUAUUGGCAGAGUAGGUCAUAAUGAGAGAAAACUGCUUCUCAUUCCCGUAGAAUCCCAUUAAAAUGUUAGUAAAGUAUGUCACAUCAUUUAUGUUAAUUAUUCCUAAGCUCCACCUUCUUCAGUCCUCACCUUCUGAUGGAAGGUUUAUAAAGAGCAGCAGACUGCAUGAGCUCUUCACUUUUCUCCCAGCCAAGGACUUCUCUGAACAGGACUGAAAUCAGAUUAUCCUGAAUAAUGGGUGUCAAUGUUUCAAUCGUCAAUAACACUAAUCUUACCUGGUAUUAUUCCACUCAGCGGGACGAAAAUCGGUAUGAAUGCAUCCUUCCUGGCUGCUCGUCGUGCUAUCAGGAGGAAAAGGCAGUCAUUCGCUACCUCUACAUCAGAUAUAAAGAUCACGCACAUAAUAGUUUUAAGUGCGAGUUUAACACCCAUAAAGGCCAAACCACUUUUACCUUAAGUGAAACCAACGGAGGUUCCCAGAUUCAGUUGUACUGCUCCACUGAACGUAUCUCUCAAUACUGUCCCAACUAUGGCAAAAGUUAAGAAAUGAUGUACACUGCUGUGUUGGAGUACAGCCGCAUGGGAAUCCUGGAUCGGAAGCAGCAUGAGCAGCGUCUGGAUGAGGGAAAAUAAAAAAUAUAUUGUCUUGUUCUAUUGUUAUUUCUAAAGUUAUAUUGUUUUGUUCUACUGCUAGAUCAUUUUAGUAAUUUUUAAGCAUUUAUUUCUAGAAAGCAGCAUCAGAAUAAGAGCAUUUAAACUCAAAAUCAGUAAAAAUGUCUAGAAGUACUAUUAAAUUUUCCUGUAGUCACUUCAGUUCACAUGAUGAUAAUGUUGUAAUCUGUGUGUGUUUGGGGUUUAAACAUGUAGAGGGUCAAAAUAUUACAGUUUUUUUUUUUUUUUUUCUUCUUCACAAAACAUGAAUGUUAUUCCAAAUAUAAGAAUGGUGUUGGGUUGUGAUUAAAUGUUGAAAAUAUAUAACACAUCAAAUCUUAAAGCAAAAUUUCAGCUUCUUUUCAGUAGACUGAUGUCCACAUUACUCCCUGAUUAAAACUAAAUCACACUGUGAAAUCAUUUUACUUGUGUGCUAAAUUUAUAAAAAAAAAAAAAUAAAAAAUAAAGGAUUUUUUGAGGAUGUUGUUGAGAUAACAGAUUAUACAAUGUUCUCAAUAAAACAUUGGCACAAUGUUCCAUAAUAACAAAGGAGGAACAUUCUCACAGCCACAUUAGGAAAAUGUUAUGAGGAGUUUUUUUAAUAAAACGUUCUUGUAAUUGUGA